CUCAGGUUCCUCAUGACUCCAAUUAUUUGUUUCUUCUCCCUUAGGUCCACGCACUGUUAACAAUCUCUACACUUUUCCCAGAGCAGCAGAAAACGCAUGAAUCCCAGACUCCGUUCUGGGCUCCUCUGCAUGGUGUUUCCCUUCCUCCUGUCUGUCCUGAGCAUCUGGAUUGACUUCCUGCUGAAAAUGGAGUCUGCCUUGGGCUCAGCGAUCUAGAGAAAAGGCGCCAGAGAUGCCUCGCCCCUUCCACUGUGUAAGGACAUGGCGACAUGUUGGCCGUCUGCAGCACAGAACCCCACCGUGCCAGCACCUGAUCGCAGCCUUCCAGCCUCCAGA